CCUACGGGAGGCAGCAGUAGGGAAUUUUCGUCAAUGGGCGCAAGCCUGAACGAGCAAUGCCGCGUGAACGAGGAAGGUCUUCGGAUCGUAAAGUUCUGUUGAAGGGGAAAAAGAGCGGAGAGAGGAAAUGGUCUCCGAUUGAUAUUACCCUUCGAGGAAGUCACGGCUAACUACGUGCCAGCAGCCACGGUAAUACGUAGGUGGCGAGCGUUAUCCGGAAUGAUUGGGCGUAAAGGGUGCGUAGGCGGCCUGCUAAGUCUUGAGUGAAAGGUACCGGCUCAACCGGUACAGGCUCUGGAAACUGGCGGGCUAGAGAGCAGGAGAGGGCGGUGGAACUCCAUGUGUAGCGGUAAAAUGCGUAGAUAUAUGGAAGAACACCAGUGGCGAAGGCGGCCGCCUGGCCUGUUACUGACGCUGAGGCACGAAAGCGUGGGGAGCAAAUAGGAUUAGAUACCCCAGUAGUC
rnacentral:rRNA from 1 species